rnacentral:rRNA from 1 species
AACAUCUAAGUACCCCGAGGAAAAGAAAUCAACCGAGAUUCCGAAAGUAGCGGCGAGCGAAAUUGGACUAGCCCUUAAGCUUUACACGCGUUAGACGAACGGUCUGGAAAGUCCGACGAUACAGGGUGAUAGUCCCGUAGUUGACGACGUGUGUUCAGUGAAAUCGAGUAGGGCGGGACACGUGAUAUCCUGUCUGAAUAUGGGGGGACCAUCCUCCAAGGCUAAAUACUACUGACUGACCGAUAGUGAACCAGUACCGUGAGGGAAAGGCGAAAAGAACCCCUGUGAGGGGAGUGAAAUAGAACCUGAAACCGUGUACGUACAAGCAGUAGGAGCAGGCUUGUCCUGUGACUGCGUACCUUUUGUAUAAUGGGUCAGCGACUUAUAUUCAGUGGCAAGGUUAACCAUCUAGGGGAGCCGUAGGGAAACCGAGUCUUAACUGGGCGUUCAGUCUCUGGAUAUAGACCCGAAACCAGGUGAUCUAGCCAUGGGCAGGUUGAAGGUUGAGUAACAUCAACUGGAGGACCGAACCGACUAAUGUUGAAAAAUUAGCGGAUGACUUGUGGCUAGGGGUGAAAGGCCAAUCAAACCUGGAGAUAGCUGGUUCUCCCCGAAAGCUAUUUAGGUAGCGCCUCGGACGAAUACUACUGGGGGUAGAGCACUGUUAAGGCUAGGGGGUCAUCCCGACUUACCAACCCUUUGCAAACUCCGAAUACCAGUAAGUACUAUCCGGGAGACACACGGCGGGUGCUAACGUCCGUCGUGGAGAGGGAAACAACCCAGACCGCCAGCUAAGGUCCCAAAUUACUACUAAGUGGGAAACGAUGUGGGAAGGCUCAGACAGCCAGGAUGUUGGCUUAGAAGCAGCCAUCAUUUAAAGAAAGCGUAAUAGCUCACUGGUCGAGUCGGCCUGCGCGGAAGAUGUAACGGGGCUAAGUAGUAAACCGAAGCUGCGGCAAUGUGCUUUUGCACAUUGGGUAGGGGAGCGUUCUGUAAGCGGUUGAAGGUGUGUGGUAACGCAUGCUGGACGUAUCAGAAGUGCGAAUGCUGACAUGAGUAACGAUAAAGGGGGUGAAAAACCUCCUCGCCGGAAGACCAAGGGUUCCUGUCCAACGUUAAUCGGGGCAGGGUAAGUCGACCCCUAAGGCGAGGCCGAAAGGCGUAGUCGAUGGGAAACGGGUUAAUAUUCCCGUACUUCUUACAAUUGCGAUGGGGGGACGGAGAAGGCUAGGUGGGCCUGGCGACGGUUGUCCAGGUUCAAGUGCGUAGGCUUAAGAGUUAGGUAAAUCCGGCUCUUUUUAAGGCUGAGACACGACGUCGAGCACCUACGGGUGUGAAGUCAUUGAUGCCAUGCUUCCAGGAAAAGCCUCUAAGCUUCAGAUUGUAAGGAAUCGUACCCCAAACCGACACAGGUGGUCGGGUAGAGAAUACCAAGGCGCUUGAGAGAACUCGGGUGAAGGAACUAGGCAAAAUGGUACCGUAACUUCGGGAGAAGGUACGCUCUUGAUGGUGAAGUCCCUCGCGGAUGGAGCUGACGAGAGUCGCAGAUACCAGGUGGCUGCAACUGUUUAUUAAAAACACAGCACUGUGCAAAAUCGUAAGAUGACGUAUACGGUGUGACGCCUGCCCGGUGCCGGAAGGUUAAUUGAUGGGGUUAGACUUCGGUCGAAGCUCUUGAUCGAAGCCCCGGUAAACGGCGGCCGUAACUAUAACGGUCCUAAGGUAGCGAAAUUCCUUGUCGGGUAAGUUCCGACCUGCACGAAUGGCGUAAUGAUGGCCACGCUGUCUCCACCCGAGACUCAGUGAAAUUGAAAUCGCUGUGAAGAUGCAGUGUACCCGCGGCUAGACGGAAAGACCCCGUGAACCUUUACUACAGCUUGGCACUGAACAUUGACCCUACAUGUGUAGGAUAGGUGGGAGGCUUUGAAGCACGUACGCCAGUAUGUGUGGAGCCGUCCUUGAAAUACCACCCUUGUAGUGUUGAUGUUCUAACGUCGACCCCUAAUCGGGGUUGCGGACAGUGCCUGGUGGGUAGUUUGACUGGGGCGGUCUCCUCCCAAAGAGUAACGGAGGAGCACGAAGGUGGGCUAAUCACGGUUGGACAUCGUGAGGUUAGUGCAAUGGCAUAAGCCCGCUUGACUGCGAGAAUGACAAUUCGAGCAGGUGCGAAAGCAGGUCAUAGUGAUCCGGUGGUUCUGAAUGGAAGGGCCAUCGCUCAACGGAUAAAAGGUACUCCGGGGAUAACAGGCUGAUACCGCCCAAGAGUUCAUAUCGACGGCGGUGUUUGGCACCUCGAUGUCGGCUCAUCACAUCCUGGGGCUGAAGUCGGUCCCAAGGGUAUGGCUGUUCGCCAUUUAAAGUGGUACGCGAGCUGGGUUUAGAACGUCGUGAGACAGUUCGGUCCCUAUCUGCCGUGGGCGUUGGAAGAUUGAAGGGGGCUGCUCCUAGUACGAGAGGACCGGAGUGGACGAACCUCUGGUGUUCGGGUUGUGUCGCCAGACGCAUUGCCCGGUAGCUAAGUUCGGAAUCGAUAACCGCUGAAAGCAUCUAAGCGGGAAGCGAGCCCUGAGAUGAGUCUUCCCUGAUACUUUAAGUAUCCUAAAGGGUUGUCGGAGACUACGACGUUGAUAGGUCAGGUGUGUAAGUGCUGUGAGGCAUUGAGCUAACUGAUACUAAUUGCCCGUGAGGCUUAACCAU